GACGAACGCUGGCGGCGUGCCUAAUACAUGCAAGUCGACCUUAGUGGCGGACGGGUGAGUAACACGUGGGAACCUACCCAUCAGAGGGGGAUAACACUUGGAAACAGGUGCUAAUACCGCAUACUAUCAGAUGAGCCUAGGUCGGAUUAGCUAGUUGGUGGGGUAAAGGCCUACCAAGGCGACGAUCCGUAACUGGUCUGAGAGGAUGAUCAGUCAUACUGGAACUGAGACACGGUCCAGACUCCUACGGGAGGCAGCAGUGGGGAAUAUUGGACAAUGGGCGAAAGCCUGAUCCAGCCAUGCCGCGUGGGGGAUGAAGGCUUUCGGGUUGUAAACCUCUUUCGCUAUCGAACGGGUAGGUGGAGAAGAAGCGCCGGCUAACUACGUGCCAGCAGCCGCGGUAAUAC
rnacentral:rRNA from 1 species